rnacentral:rRNA from 1 species
GACGAACGCUGGCGGCGCGCUUAACACAUGCAAGUCGAACGGAAAGGCCUGCUUUCCCUUGUGGAUUGCGGGUACUCGAGUGGCGAACGGGUGAGUAACACGUGAGUGAUCUGCCCCCAACUUGGGUAUAAGCCUGGGAAACUGGGUCUAAUUCCCGAUAGGACUGCAGGGUGGUGCCUGUGGUGGAAAACGAUUUUCUAGUGGUUGGGGAUGAGCUCGCGGCCUAUCAGCUUGUUGGUGGGGUAAGGGCUACCAAGGCGGCGACGGGUAGCCGGCCUGAGAGGGUGGACGGCCACAUUGGGACUGAGAUACGGCCCAGACUCCUACGGGAGGCAGCAGUGGGGAAUAUUGCACAAUGGGCGGAAGCCUGAUGCAGCGACGCCGCGUGGGGGAUGACGGCCUUCGGGUUGUAAACUCCUUUCGACCGCGAGGAAGCCACCUGGUUGGAAGGGUGGUGACGGUAGUGGUAGAAGAAGCACCGGCUAACUACGUG